rnacentral:rRNA from 1 species
UACGAAGGGGGCUAGCGUUGUUCGGAAUUACUGGGCGUAAAGCGCACGUAGGCGGAUUGUUAAGUGAGGGUGAAAUCCCAGGGCUCAACCCUGGAACUGCCUCUCAUACUGGCAAUCUCGAGUUCGAGAGAGGUGAGUGGAAUUGCGAGUGUAGAGGUGAAAUUCGUAGAUAUUCGCAGGAACACCAGUGGCGAAGGCGGCUCACUGGCUCGAUACUGACGCUGAGGUGCGAAAGCGUGGGGAGCGAACAGG